rnacentral:tRNA from 1 species
GGGCCUCUAGCUCAAUUUGGCAGAGCAGUAGACUCUUAAUCUAUUGGUUCGGGGUUCGAGUCCCCGGGGGCCCACCA